GGACAUAAUCAGGGGUGGUCCCUUAGGGGCCUGAGAUCAUACCCUCAAUACCUGAUCUGGGUAAUGCCAGCGUAGGGAAAUGAGAGAUUUCUGCC
rnacentral:ncRNA from 2 species